AGUGGCGGACGGGUGAGUAACACGUAAGAACCUACCUUUUGGAGAGGGACAACCAUUGGAAACGAUGGCUAAUACCUCAUAAUACUGAGAAGUUAAAUGAUGAAUAAUCGCCCAAGAGAUGGGCUUGCGGCUGAUUAGCUAGUUGGUGGGGUAAAGGCGUACCAAGGCAAUGAUCAGUAGCUGGUCUGAGAGGAUGAUCAGCCACACUGGGACUGAGACACGGCCCAGACUCCUACGGGAGGCAGCAGUGAGGAAUUUUCCGCAAUGGGCGAAAGCCUGACGGAGCAAUGCCGCGUGAAGGAUGAAGGCCUAUGGGUUGUAAACUUCUUUUCUCAGAGAAGAAUUUCUGACGGUAUCUGAGGAAUAAGCAUCGGCUAACUCUGUGCCAGCAGCCGCGGUAAGACAGAGGAUGCAAGCGUUAUCCGGAAUGAUUGGGCGUAAAGCGUCUGUAGGUGGCUUAAAAAGUCUCCUGUCAAAGAUCAGGGCUUAACCCUGGGCCGGCAGGAGAAACUCUUAGGCUAGAGUUUGGUAGGGGCAGAGGGAAUUCCCGGUGGAGCGGUGAAAUGCGUAGAGAUCGGGAGGAACACCAAAGGCGAAAGCACUCUGCUGGGCCACAACUGACACUGAGAGACGAAAGCGAGGGGAGCAAAAGGGAUUAGAUACCCCUGUAGUCCUCGCCGUAAACGAUGGAUACUAGAUGCUGGAU
rnacentral:rRNA from 1 species